rfam:Oryza glaberrima chromosome 6 Oglab06_0089_15, whole genome shotgun sequence.
AAAAAGGCAAACCCUGGGUUUCCGUGUCCAACUUUGACUGUCUGUCUUAUAUGUAAUUUUUUUCAUAAUUUUUUCAAAUAAGACGGAUGGUCAAACGUUGGACACGGAAACCAGGGUUUGUCUUUUU